rnacentral:rRNA from 1 species
CUGGAACUUAUGAAGAAAGUAGUUUUAUCAGGUAAAGCGAAUGAUUAGAGGCUUUGGGGAAGAAACUUCCUCGACCUAUUCUCAAACUUUAAAUAGGUAAGAUUUGAAGGAUACUUAAGUGAUCUUUCAAUCUCUUGAAUAUAAAGUUCUUAGUGGGCCAUUUUUGGUAAGCAGAACUGGCGAUGUGGGAUGAACCGAACGUUAAGUUAAAGUGCCAAAUAAUACGCUCAUGAGAUACCAUAAAAGGUGUUGGUUCAUUUUGACAGCAGGACGGUGGCCAUGGAAGUCGGAACCCGCUAAGGAGUGUGUAACAACUCACCUGCCGAAUGAACUAGCCCUGAAAAUGGAUGGCGCUUAAGCGUAUAACUUAUACUUAACCCUUACUUGAAUUAUUAUAACGAGUAAGGAGUAGGAGGG